CCUACGGGUGACAGCAGUGAGGAAUAUUGGUCAAUGGGCGCGAGCCUGAACCAGCCAAGUCGCGUGAGGGAAGACGGUCCUAUGGAUUGUAAACCUCUUUUGUCGGGGAGCACAAGACGCCACGCGUGGCGUUCCGAAAGUACCCGAAGAAAAAGCAUAUGCUCACUCCGUGCCCGCAGCCGCGGUAAUACGGAGGAGGCGAGCGUUAUCUGGAUUGAUUGGGUUUAACGGGUGCGCAGGCGGAAGAUCAAGUCAGCGGUAAAAUUGAGAGGCGCAACCGCUUCGAGCCGUUGAAACUGGGUGUCUUGAGUGAGCGAGAAGUAUGCGGAAUGCGUGGUGUAGCGGUGAAAUGCAGAGAUAUCACGCAGAACUCCGAUUGCGAAGGCAGCAUACCGGCGCUCAACUGACGCUCAUGCACGAAAGUGUGGGUAUCGAACAGGAUUAGAUACCCCAGUAGUC
rnacentral:rRNA from 1 species